CACGUACUCACUCCACUGCUAUUGUUCACUCUUCAACUCUCCACCGUCUCUUCAAUCGACACUGUUGAAGAUGGAGGAAAAAUCGACACUAUAUCUUGCAACUAAAGUGAUGCGAUACUCAACGAAAAGUAAAACCCAUCGUCUCUAUCACAUAUCACCGUUGUUGGUCGGCUCUUCUGAUUCAAUCUCAUAAAACCCGGAACCGGUACACAUAGGUCGUCGCCUCCUGCGUCCGAAGAAGUCGGUGCACCACCGUCCACCAUCGAUUUUGGUGACACCGACGGCAAACCUUCUCCCUUUGUCCAUGGAUUGAAGCUUCCAUAUUCAAUUGGAGAACAUCUGGAGCCUUUAUUUGAGUUUCAGGCUAUUUGGGUUUUGUGAGAAAAAGCCCUAGCUGGGUCAAUCACCCGGUUCACCAUCUGUUUUUUUUUUUUUUUUUUUUUUUUUUUCGGUUUUUGCCCCCAUCAUUUCUUUAUCGAUCAGCUUGAAAGAAAAGGGAUACGGGAGCAAUGAAAUCAGACAGCGAGAAGGAGCGUCAAGCGGCUUCGAGGCCAGAUCAUGGUCGUCAUCUCGCGAAGGGAACGGAGUGCCUCCGAGUUGGUAAGGCCGAAGAUGGAGAUGGGAGGGUGCGACCGGUGGGACGCUGAGCGACGGCGGUUCCAGUAAGGGCUUUAUGGCUCCUUCCGCUACGUCGACACCUUCGGUGAUACCCAAUACAGUUGCAUCCGAGAUGUCUACAGUUAUACUAGAGACGACUAUCAUGGAGUAUUUUUGUUUAGGUGAAGAAUAAAAUCGAACCAGCAGGUGGGUGUUUGGGAAUGUCAAUAGCAGGGGAAGAAAGAAAUAUAUAUAAACAACCACAAUGAGUGAAGUACAAAGGAUGCUUAAUUAGGUAUUUUCUGAUGCAUUAUAUAUAUUUUAAUUUUAUUUUUUUUGCUUAUAAACAUUAUUUUAUUAUUUUAAUAUUUCUGAUUUGUAAACUCAGAUAUAAUUUGUUAGUUGUAUUUGAUUGAGGUUGGCAUGGAGACUAGCAAUUAUGGGUACGUAAAAUCAUUUAAAAUCGAAGCUGAAGUGAUGUAUCCCAAGAGUAACCAAUAAUUAACAGGUUCAUGAUUUAAGAAGCUGAUACCCCCUGUAAACAAGAGGUAUAACAAUCUUUUUUCAACUCACUUAUUAAUCAAAUAAAGAAAAUUAUAUUCUUACUUUUAUUAAUUUCAGUGGCAAUAUUUGUUUUUUUAUUAGUUUACAUGCCACAACAUUGGCAAUGCAUUCUCAUAUUUUUUGUAUAUACUCCAGCUUAUGUCCAACAAGGUAAAUGUACAAAAGGGAGUCCUACAACUUCAAGUAUUGAAAUGUCAAAAAAUGUAGCUGUUAAUGAUUUACUUUUUGGAAUAUGUAAAGAACUUCUCUAUCGACCUGUGGUUCUUAAUUGUGGACAUAGUAAGUGUUCAAAAAAUUCAUAGCACUAUAAAUUAUAUAUGGUUAAUGUUUAUUUUAUGGUAACAAAUUAUCACAUUUCUCAACUUUUUUAUUCAAAAAACACCAAUAUUUUUUAUUAUUUAUUAAUAUAUGUUAUUUACUAGAUUAAAUUACAGAUUUGGUAUUGGGAUAUCUUAUUUUUUCUAUUAUUAAAUCUAAGUACUUAUCUGUUAAUAUUUUUAGAAUGACCAUUUUAUCUCAUUUUUUCUAUUAUUAAAAAUAACUUACAUAUUUACUAAUUUAUCCCUCGAGGAUUCAAGAUUUUUUUUUGGCAGGAAAUGGUGUUGGUAGUUGGUAGAAACAGGUAAUUAUAUUUCCAUUUUACAGUGUUUAUCAUGAUGAAAUUGUAAUCAUCAGGUUUCAGGAAUUGAGAUUCUCUCUGGAGGAAUUACUAGGUUACAAGUGUCAGAAGCAGAGGUCAACAAUAUAUCCGUACGUUUUCUCCAUAGAACUGGUGAGCCAACUACAGGAAAGACAGGGCCUGAGACAAUUCUUAGGCAACUUAAUGCCAAAAAGGGGCAGGUAUU